GUCCAAGGAUAGGAAUCGAACCCACAAUGUUCCACUUACCGGGCAGAUAUCAUGUCCACUAGGCUACCCUGGA
rnacentral:tRNA from 1 species